rnacentral:rRNA from 1 species
UACGUAGGGUGCAAGCGUUGUCCGGAAUUAUUGGGCGUAAAGAGCUCGUAGGCGGUUUGUCACGUCGACUGUGAAAACCCGGGGCUCAACUCCGGGCCUGCAGUCGAUACGGGCUGGCUUGAGUGCGGUAGGGGAGACUGGAAUUCCUGGUGUAGCGGUGAAAUGCGCAGAUAUCAGGAGGAACACCGGUGGCGAAGGCGGGUCUCUGGGCCGAUACUGACGCUGAGGAGCGAAAGCCAGGGGAGCAAACGGG